GCCUAACGGCUGAACUGGCAACUUGGAGAAGUGGCAAGUCUUCCAGUAUGGGGAGCAAAACAGCUAUGGGUCAAGUCCGAUAUCUUUAGGAGAAGUCUUAUUGUGAGGGCGAGUUAUAUAACACCAUAGGACUGGCCGUCCCAUAUGAAAAGAUUAUAUUAGAAUUGAAUGAAGCUUUGUUUAUAUAUUGAUAAUGACAGUAUAUAUAUCGUGUCUUGACUAAUUGCGUGCCAGCAGUCGCGGUAAUACGUAAGAGACUAGUGUUAUUCAUCUUAAUUAGGUUUAAAGGGUACCCAGACGGUCAAUAUAGCUUAUAAAAUGUUAGUACUUGACUAGAGUUUUAUGUAAGAGGGCAGUACUUGAGGAGGAGAGAUGAAAUUUCGUGAUACCAAAGGGACUCUGUAAAGGCGAAGGCAGCCCUCUAUGUAAAAACUGACGUUGAAGGACGAAGGCACAGAGAACAAACAGGAUUAGAUACCCAAGUAGUCUUUGCAGUAAAUGAUGAAUGCCAUAGGUUAGAUUGGUCAAUUAUAGUCUAGGGUUAGUCUAGCAAACUAAUACCCUAUGCUAUAAUCCUAAUAUCUGGUCUAUAAAUGAAAGUGUAAGCAUUUCACCUCAAGAGUAAUGUGGCAACGCAGGAACUGAAAUCACUAGACCGUUUCUGACACCAGUAGUGAAG
rnacentral:rRNA from 4 species